rnacentral:rRNA from 1 species
ACGAACGCUGGCGGCUGCUUAACACAUGCAAGUCGAACGGAGUGGCGAACGGGUGAGUAACGCGUGAGCAACCUACCUAUGACAGUGGGAUAGCCUCGGGAAACCGGGAUUAAUACCGCAUAUGCAGAGAUGGGCUCGGGUCUGAUUAGCAAGUUGGUGAGAUAACAGCCCACCAAGGCGAGGAUCAGUAGCCGGUCUGACAGGAUGAACGGCCACAUUGGAACUAGGACACGGUCCAAACUCCUACGGGAGGCAGCAGUGGGGAAUAUUGCACAAUGGGGGAAACCCUGAUGCAGCGACGCGGCGUGAACGAAGAAGGUAUUCGUAUCGUAAAGUUCUGUCCUAUGGGAAGCAGUACCAUAGAAGAAAGCUCCGGCUAAAUACGUGCCAGCCGCCGCGGUAAUUC